CUGGUUACAGUUCCUGGUCAAGAUGAGAGAGAUAAGAUCUGAGGCAGAGGAAUGAACAUGGAGAAAUUCAGGAAGUAUUUAUAAGAUUUGAAACAAGAGGAGUCUCCAGGAUUCUACCAGCCUCUACUCUACCUUUCCAAAAGGAUGAUGCUAACCAAAUUCUGCUGAGAAAAUCACUGUGCCAGUUUGCAUAUAUUGUGUCCCCCAGAAAAAGCCAUAUUCCUUAAUGCAUUCUUGUAGGGGCAGACAUAUCAGUGUUAAGUUGGAACCUUUGGAUUAGGUUG